rnacentral:misc_RNA from 1 species
GAUGAAGAACGCAGCGAAUUGCGAUAAGUAAUGUGAAUUGCAGAAUUCAGUGAAUCAUCGAAUCUUUGAACGCACCUUGCGCCCUUUGGCUAUUCCAGAGGGCAUGCCUGUUUGAGUAUCAUGAACACCUCAACUCUCAUGGUUCUGCCAUGAUGAGCUUGGACUUUGGAGGUCUUGCUGGCCCCUGUGGUCAGCUCCUCUCAAAUGGAUCAGCUUGCCAGUGUUUGGUGGCAUCACAGGUGUGAUAACUAUCUACGCUUGUGGUUUUCCACCAGGUAACCUUCAGUGAUGGAGGUUCGCUGGAGCUCAUAAACGUCUCUCCUCAGCGAGGACAGCUUCUUGAAUGUUUGAUCUCAAAUCAGGUAGGGCUACCCGCUGAACUUAAGCAUAUCAAUAAGCGGAGGA